AAAACAGUGAUAUUUUGGAUUUAUUAAUUGUUUUAGUGUCUGAGUAUACAAUGCUGUUUAUUUCUUUUUAUGGACAUGUUUUUUUCCUGAUAAACUUGUUUCGAUCUUUACGAACUUCAACUUUUCUGAAAGCUCAAAUUAUCAAGAUUGUACUAUAAAGAGGUCAUUCUUUUGAUUUCUGACACUAUUUUUUAAUUAAAUGGACUCAAGUGGGAAAAAACUAAAGAAACGUACAGUUUCACUAUUUCAUUAUUUUAUAAAAACAGACAAUGCUUUUUACCAGAAAAAAUUAUUGAGUCGAAAAAUCUUAAGACACCUUUUUUGUAGCCCUUUUGAUUUACUUACUUAUGGUAUCAUCACACAAACUUUUGAGUAUUUAAGGAAUUUUAAUUUUUGGAAGUUUUUGCUGUAAAUUGGUUAUAAAUACAUGUAGAGGCUUGAAACUUGGUAUUAAUACUUAUAUUGGAUUAACCUUGAGAAAUUUCCAAAAUUAUCAGACAAUUUCUUUUUUUUAUAAGUGUUUUGAAAUCAAAUUUAAAUGAAAAUCGUAAAAAAAAAUUAAGGCACUUCAAAUUAUAUAUUACCAAACUGUGCUCGGAAUUGUUUUUUGUCUAGUAAUGUUUUAUCGUUGUUUACAGAUAUAAAUGUAAUAAUUGUAUGUAUCCUACCUUCCCAACUUCUCAUCUACAACAGUUGCUGCUCUCAUCCCCAGUAUUGGCUCUUUUUUUUUUUAAUUACUGUGGUGUAUUUAUGAGAAAAAAGGGAGGUUAAUACCUCCCCUUUCUCACUUCAAUUAAAGGACAAUAUGGCCUUUUUGUUGUAUUUCAGAUUUAGUUGUUGAGCGAGCCAUUUUUUGAUUCUAACAAUUUUAAAAACCGGAAAAAGACAAUAACAAACAAAUAUAUGGUUUUACAAUUUCAUUAUUUUAAAUUUCUACAAUUUAGCUUGUCUAUCAGAAAUAUUGCUCCAAAUAUCAAGUUUAAUUUUCUGAUAACAUUUUUUAUCUAUUUUGUGAGUUAUGGAAGUUGCUUUUUGAUAUUCUAUGUAAUUUACUUAAUAUUUCGUGAAAACUGUAAUAUUUACAGAUGUAAUAGUUUCUGUAUUUUGAAUUUUAGUUUUUUAUUAUUAUUUGGUUAAAUGUUUUUACAGAAUACUUAUAAUAGUAUUUUAUAUACUUGGUAAAAUGUUUAAUAUAUUUUGGAGAUUUUUGAGCUAUUUGUUGGAAUUUGACAUGUUUGAGAUUUUUUUUGGUAGGUAAUAUAUUAUGUAUAAAGUUAUUGAAAUGCUUAAAAAUUUAAGAUAAAUUGUACUAAGCGGUUCAAUAAAAAAGUUAAAUGUAAUCGUAGUCCGUUAGCUGUUUCCAGUAUUGCCUCUUUUAAAUUAUCAUAACAUGUUACUUUUAUUUGGUAUACAUUAUAUUAUUUGAUUUUUAUAAAAAAUCAAUAAGUAUAUAUUAGUAAGUAUACUUAUAUUUACUCAAGUUCUUUAUAAAAUUAUUUUAAUUAAAAAUUUGUUGAAAUUUGAGCCGAUUAAGGUAUUUUCUUUUUCUUUUAAACAAAUUAUUUUGUUUGAAUCAUAUUAAAUUAGAAGUCGAUAAUGAAUAAAGAAAAUUUUAUUUUCAUUUUUGGGAGUUAUUUAGGUACUUAUUAUAUCAAAAAUAGUAUUGACAUUGACAUGUUUUUCUUUUAAAUUUAAAGUUUGAAU
rnacentral:lncRNA from 1 species